rnacentral:rRNA from 1 species
GGGUGCGAUCAUACCAGUACUAAUGCACCGGAUCCCAUCAGAACUUCACAGUUAAGCAUUCUUGGGUGAGAGUAGUACUAGGAUGGGUGACCUCUUGGGAAGUCCUCGUGUUGCACCCC